rnacentral:rRNA from 1 species
GAUGAACGCUAGCGGGAGGCCUAACACAUGCAAGCUGAGCGGUAGAGAUCUUUCGGGAUCUUGAGAGCGGCGUACGGGUGCGGAACACGUGUGCAACCUGCCUUUAUCAGAGGGAUAGCCUUUCGAAAGGAAGAUUAAUACCUCAUAAUAUAAUGAAUGGCAUCAUUUAUUAUUGAAAACUCCGGUGGAUAGAGAUGGGCACGCGCAAGAUUAGAUAGUUGGUGAGGUAACGGCUCACCAAGUCGAUGAUCUUUAGGGGGCCUGAGAGGGUGAUCCCCCACACUGGUACAGGGACACGGACCCGACUCCUACGGGAGGCAGCAGUGAUGAAUAUUGGACAAUGGGUUAGAGCCUGCUCCAGCCAUCCCGCGUGAAGGACGACGGCCCUAUGGGUUGUAAACUUCUUUUGUACAGGGAUAAACCUACUCUCGUGAGAGUAGCUGAAGGUACUGUACGAAUAAGCACCGGCUAACUCCGUGCCAGCCGCCGCAGUAAAAC